UUUCCGUAGGUGAACCUGCGGAAGGAUCAUUGCACACACGAUGCAGCAAACUAGCGAACUGUGUUUGUCCCCCACCUACCCCAAACACGAGGGGCCGCAUCUGGAGGUGCGGCUGUCGACGGCAAGGUCCCGACCUUCGGGUCCCCGCAGUGGUUCCCGCAAGCGGGCUGAUCAUGUGGCCGUCUGGGUGUCCCGCGCGGGCUCUCGCCUUGCCUUAGGGUUGGGCGACGCGGGCAUUCUCCUCCCUUCGAUGGCGUCGUCCCCUCCUCCGGGAGAGCGACACGCCUCGAGGGCCGUUUACAACUUUGCACCAUGUACAACACCAGUGACUGAGUAUCCCCGUGUCCCGGUUCCGCUGCUGCACUCGGGUGGUGCGGGCUUGGUCCAUAGGAACAAGAGUAAAUAAAAACAACUCUCAGCAACGGAUAUCUUGGCUCUU
rnacentral:misc_RNA from 1 species